rnacentral:rRNA from 1 species
UUGGAGGGCAAGUCUGGUGCCAGCAGCCGCGGUAAUUCCAGCUCCAAUAGCGUAUAUUAAAGUUGUUGCAGUUAAAAAGCUCGUAGUUGAAUUUCGGGAUCAAUUUAUUGGUCGUGCUAUUGUACGUACUGGUAUUAUUGAUUCCUACCUUCUGACGAACCAUGAUGUCAUUAAUUUGGUGUCAUGGGGAAUCAGGACUGUUACUUUGAAAAAAUUAGAGUGUUUAAAGCAGGCUCACGCUUGAAUACAUUAGCGUGGAAUAACGAAAUAGGACGUUUGAUUCUAUUUUGUUGGUUUCUAGGAUCGACGUAAUGAUUAAUAGGGAUAGUUGGGGGCAUUAGUAUUCAAUUGUCAGAGGUGAAAUUCUUGGAUUUAUUGAAGACUAACUACUGCUAAAGCAUUUGCCAAGGAUGUUUUCUUUAAUCAAGAACGAAAGUUACCCCCAUCGAAGACGAUCAGAUACCGUCGUAGUCUUAACCAUAAACUAUGCCGACUAGGGAUCGGAUGAUGUUAAUUUUUUAAUGACUCAUUCGGCGCCUUACGGGAAAC